GAUGAAGAACGUAGCGAAAUGCGAUACGUAAUGUGAAUUGCAAAUUCAGUGAAUCAUCGAGUCUUUGAACGCACAUUGCGCCCUCUGGUAUUCCGGAGGGCAUGCCUGUCCGAGCGUCAUUUCAACCCCCCUCAAGCCCGGCUUGUGUGUUGAGCGGCGGUCCCCCUUCAUCGGGGGGCCGGCUCCAAACGCAGUGGCAGCGCCGCUAUACAAGGGUGACUGAGCACAUGGGAAAAGGAUACUCUUCCGAAUCUUUGUGUUUGUUAAAAAGUCCCCGGUGGCAGCUUGCCUUCCCGGUGAGGUAGGAGUCUCGGUACCGCUAACCCGGGCCCGGGAGGACUGCCCCUCCACUUUCUCAAAGGUUGACCUCGGAUCAGGUAGGGAUACCCGCUGAACUUAAGCAUAUCAAUAAGCGGAGGA
rnacentral:misc_RNA from 1 species